GUUUCUGUACCAGAGAGAAAUGGAGGGAGGUGGGAAUUUCCUUAUUGUGAUGGUAGAGAAAUUUGUUGUUUUUUUUGUGUGUGUUUCUGUUCAUGUUUGUUUCAUUCCUUCCAUCCUUUCUAAUAAUCAAAAAGUAACUGAACCGGUUUAUUGGGCUAGUCCAGACGGGACAAGCGUUUGCGUGCAGGUGAACUCUUCAAAGAAAUCGAAAGCAGUGAAAGUUUUCCUUCAAUUUUUUUAAUAUCUCUUCUAGACGAAUGAAUCAAUCUCUCGGCUGCUGCUUAUUCACGCUGAAAGUUGAUACGCAAUUUUAUUUGCAUUCCAAUUUCCUCUGAUCACUCUUUUUUUUUUCUUUUAGGUUUUAGCAGAAAGAAAAAACUGGAAUUAAUAUCAGAUUGAAACAAACCUCCUGUCUGGGGAAACUAAGGUGAUACGAAUCAUAAUCAUAAUAACAAUUUCCCCGUUGUGUUUUUGGUAUGAAGUGCAGGGUAUCAAAAUAGGAUCUCGAUUCAUAUCUGACGUAUCAUGCACGAACUGACUGUGUAAUCAUAUUGCGGUAUAACGUGUUGACGUCAUUCAUUCUGUCGUUUUCGAGAUGGUAAGAAGAGAAACUUUUCAUCAAGAUUUAUGUAGUUUUUUUUUCAUCUUUUCCUAAAUUUUGCGUGUUCAGUAGGUGCAAGUCACGGAUACUUGUGGGAUUGUCCGACCAAACCCAGAUUUUUUUUUCGUGAUUAAUUGAGUUCAAUAACUUUUCACUUACAACCAAAAAUUGCAAGUGCGACUGGCCUAUUUUUAAGAAAUAAGGCAUUCGCAAUUCGUGAGUAACCUCCGAGGAAGGGUGGGGGGCCUAAUUUUUGUAGAGUUGAAAGUUGAUCGUCAUCCAUCAGUUUGAUUAAAAGUACGUAAAAAAGAGAUUUAAAAAAUGUUAGGUGUAGUAGGUUGAUUGCAUUUUGUAGCUACAAGAAUUUCUCUUCUGGAUUUCAGCAGUUAAUGCUAUACAAUCCAGGAUUCGAAUUUGUUUUUUUAGUCGAGUGCUUUUCUUGACUAUUUUUAGUCCCUCGGUUAUUUUUGAUAAAUUUCCCUUUCUUUUUUUAUCAGAUUCAAAUGUCUAAAUUCAGAAAAUGUCAGUUCUUUCAUUUUUUUCCUGAUUUUUUUCAAACUUGGUCAGUCAACAAACUCUAGAAACUGGUUAAACUACGUUAACGUUUCCUCUUCCCUGGAUUGAAUCGAGCGUGUUAAAAAGCCGUUUUCUUGGUGGAUUACCUUGUCCUUUCAUUUUUUUUUCGCCGUUAUAGCUCUCGGGACAUUUUAAAAUAUGAAAUGCGGAUAUUGUAGUGUGUCAAUUUUACUCGACAAUUUCAACUUUAAUAGAAAUUAAUAGGAGAAAGUUUUCUCGUUGUUUAGACAGUCCAUAGAUUUUACCCUUUCUGCGAUGAUGAGGUUAUUUUCCUGUUGGCCAGAUUUUCACUUUUUUCAAUUAAUUCUCUUCCUUAUCGAAGAAUUCCAGCCUCACGCUGCUCAUUGUUCAUUUUUACGCCAGGCGUGAUGACGGGAGAGGAGGAGACGUAACUUUCUACUUGUACAUGCAUAUCCUGGAAGACGAACCCCAUUGGCAAAAUUACCAUCUUGGAGAGAGAUGAGAGGCUGCCUGUGGAUGCUGAGAGCAUGUUGCCUUUAUCAACAAUCACCGUAGAACGAAUCCACUUCAGAUGAGCAGCGGAUGCCGUUGCGUUUGAAACAGUUCCUCCUUCCUCAUUGGAUUUUUUGGUUUUCCCUUACCGAGUUGUCCCCCAUUGGAUUAUAUCCUUCGACGACACACUCCAGACUGAAAAUGUUUCAAGUGGAUUUCAAGUUUGGAUUUCCAUUUCACCGUGUCCUGAACUGCAUUAACUCGUCGGAAAUGAAACACUGGUUAUUUCACUUUCAUCGUUCACAUCACUUUUUAAUGGGGAUCGAAUUGAGGAAGGAUUUUUUAUACCCAGCCUUGUACAUCAUCCGGGAGAUGUCUUCCUGGAGUGUCUUCUGGAAUUUGCGCUCACCGGCGCGUUGGUCGGCGUUGAGAAGUGAGGC
rnacentral:lncRNA from 1 species